UCCGCCCAGCGCCCUCUGCUAUUGCCCCACCUAUAUUAGUGCUGUCGAUGCCCCCCUCUCACACCUUUCUCUCCACAUUUGCAAAUGCACUCGACUUAGUCCACUUCUGUUCUUGCU
rnacentral:ribozyme from 1 species